rnacentral:rRNA from 1 species
AUACGUAGGGAGCGAGCGUUGUCCGGAAUUACUGGGUGUAAAGGGUGCGUAGGCGGGACGGCAAGUCAGAUGCGAAAUACCGGGGCUCAACCCCGGGGCUGCAUUUGAAACUGUCGUUCUUGAGUGAGGUAGAGGUAAGCGGAAUUCCUAGUGUAGCGGUGAAAUGCGUAGAUAUUAGGAGGAACAUCGGUGGCGAAGGCGGCUUACUGGGCCUUUACUGACGCUGAGGCACGAAAGCGUGGGGAGCAAACAGGAUUAGAUACCCUGGUAGUCCACGCUGUAAACGAUGAUGACUAGGUGUGGGGGGACUGAACCCUUCCGUGCCGCAGUUAACACAAUAAGUCAUCCACCUGGGGAGUACGGCCGCAAGGUUGAAACUCAAAUGAAUUGGCGGGG